rnacentral:lncRNA from 1 species
GAGGGGCAGUGUCCCUACCCAGGCUUGGAGGAGGAGCCUCAAGGGGUGUGUGUGGUUGGGGGAGACAGGCGGUGUCACCUGUGCUUAGACCAGGGGCGGUGGGCGGGUACCCUUGAGGUGGCAAGGUCACACUGCUCAUCAGAAGUUUCUCACUAGGGUCUUCUCUGGCCCAGCCUUUGACUGAAGCUGGUCUGGAGACAGGGGCGUUAGAGAAGUGACUCAUAGAUGGCCUAAAUAAGCGGGGCCACUCAAGGACCCAGGACAGGGGGAAGAGGGCCAACCCAUCUGGACCGCAGGCAAACCCCAUGGCCUUUGAGAGAAGAGAGAAGAGGACCCGGCUUUUCCUCCAGGAGCUGCACCAGGAACUCACAGAGGAUCAGGGAGAAUUCUGAGAACAUGCUACUGUGGUGCUGCCUAGAGAGGAAGGAUAAAUGAUGACAAGUACAUCUCUGAGUAACGUAUGGGCACUUGUUCAUGAAAACUGUUUUUCUGAAAGCUUGUGAAGGUCUUGAAAUACUCGCUAUCAGUUGAGGACAAACAUUUACACCCUCCUUCCACAGGGAGUUCAAGCAGGCUGGAUGGGUCCAUCUAUGGAUGAUCUUCCCCAGCCCCUUCCUCUUCCCAGCUCAUCCCUGGCUCUCUGUGUGAACAGGUCUCAUCAGUGGAAUGUGGUUGAUGAAGUGAGGUCUUCAAUUUUCUCAUCUACUGUGUGGUCAUGUUAUUUUCCUCAUCUGAGGCUUAAAAACUCACCUGCAUGCAGCACAUGACAGCUUAAAAUCUCUUGUGAACAAAACAGUAACAAAGACACCCACCAGCGUUGAGCAUCCCGUGUUGAUGACAGCGACCACCAGGGGUCAACGUCCUCUUCACAAUCCUGUGUCAGAGCAUCACUUGACUGAUUUCAUUAGCAACUUCCCAGGAGAAUCAGCUUACAAAAUACUUGUCCCAUUUUCCAUGCAGAUGUAACCCAUCUAUUUUACUGAAGAAAUGGGAAGAGCUGAAUGCUGAAUACACUGAAUGUCUGCAGGUUGUGCAAGUUUGUGACUUUAUCACUUUCUAAUUUCUGAUCUGUGUGGACCACUCUACAGAUUUUUCUCACUGGUGUGAUCAGCCUUCUGGAUGUCAAAUAUAAUAGACUUUCAAUAAUAUAAAAGUCAACACAAGCUCCUCAUGGUUUCAGUGCUCAGUGAUGACUCUAAACUUACACAAUGUGUUUCUUUAUUAGUUUUGUUUUCUGGUAUCUCUACUCGGCAUCUUCACCACACCCAUUUUAUGUUUCUUAUACAGGCUUUCUUCUAUGAAAUGCUAUGUCAUGAAUAUGCAAAUAACCUGAGAUCCACUGAGGUAAAUUUGGAUGUCUGUGCCCUGAGAGCAUCACCCAACAACCACAUCCCUCCUCUAUAGAAGCCCCUGAGAACACAGCUCCUCACCAUGGACUGUACCUGGGGGAUCCACUUCUUGGUGGCAGCUGCCACAGGUGUCCAUUCCCAGGUUCAGCUGUUGCAGCCUGGGGCUGAGGUGAAGAAGCCUGGGUCCUCAGUGAAGGUCUCCUGCCAGGCUUCCAGAUACACCUUCACCAAAUACUUUACACGGUGGGUGUGACAAAGCCCUGGACAAGGGCAUAGUGGAUGGGAUGAAUCAACCCUUACAAUGAUAACACACACUAUGCACAGACGUUCUGGGGCAGAGUCACCAUUACCAGUGACAGGUCCAUGAGCACAGCCUACAUGGAGCUGAGCAACCUGAGAUCUGAAGACAUGGUCAUGUAUUACUGUGUGAGAGACACAGUGCAAAAACCCACAUCCUGAGAGUGUCAGAAACCCCAGGAAGGAGACACCUGUGCUGACACAGAGGAGAUGACAAAGAUUAUUAGAUUAAAGAUUUGCUUAGAAAAUGACAUUAAGUCAUUAAAGAAAAGGAACAAUAUUAAUGUGUAUUUGAGAAAUUUUAAUUAUUUGAGAGAUUUUUCAUACAACAUUUAUUCUGUAAACAAAUUUCAAUGAUUAGAGAAUUAAUCAAAUUAAUGAAACUAAUAUAGAACUUCCUCUGAAGGUAUCUCUGUAAACAUUAAUUUCUUAAUCAGUGCUGUAAGUAUUUUGGAAUACAGACACAAAAUCACAUUUUAAGUCUGCAUUUAUAUCUAUUAAAAAUGCCAAAAAAAUCUCCUUUUGUGCGUGUAGCAUUUUGAAUUCCCACCAUCAAUGCAUGAUAGUUCUUGGUUUUCCACAUUCAUAUUGCCAUGUAUCCUUAUGAGAGUUGUGUGUUUUAACCAAUCUAGUAGGUGAGUAAUGGGAUCUAAUUUUUAUUUAAAUGCACAUGUCCCUCAAAAAGUUCAUAUUUAACAAUUUUCCAAUAACUUUUGUUGAGAUGCCU